GGGUUGUGAGGUUAAGCGACUAAGCGUACACGGUGGAUGCCCUGGCAGUCAGAGGCGAUGAAGGGCGUGCUAAUCUGCGAUAAGCGCCGGUAAGGUGAUAUGAACCGUUAUAACCGGCGAUACCCGAAUGGGGAAACCCAGUGUGACUCGUCACACUAUCAUUAACUGAAUCCAUAGGUUAAUGAGGCGAACCGGGGGAACUGAAACAUCUAAGUACCCCGAGGAAAAGAAAUCAACCGAGAUUCCCCCAGUAGCGGCGAGCGAACGGGGAGGAGCCCAGAGCCUGAAUCAGCAUGUGUGUUAGUGGAAGCGUCUGGAAAGACGCGCGAUACAGGGUGACAGCCCCGUACACAAAAGCGCAUGUGUUGUGAGCUCGAUGAGUAGGGCGGGACACGUGGUAUCCUGUCUGAAUAUGGGGGGACCAUCCUCCAAGGCUAAAUACUCCUGACUGACCGAUAGUGAACCAGUACCGUGAGGGAAAGGCGAAAAGAACCCCGGCGAGGGGAGUGAAAAAGAACCUGAAACCGUGUACGUACAAGCAGUGGGAGCACCCUUUGGGGUGUGACUGCGUACCUUUUGUAUAAUGGGUCAGCGACUUAUAUUCUGUAGCAAGGUUAACCGAAUAGGGGAGCCGGAGGGAAACCGAGUCUUAAUUGGGCGUUAAGUUGCAGGGUAUAGACCCGAAACCCGGUGAUCUAGCCAUGGGCAGGUUGAAGGUUGGGUAACACUAACUGGAGGACCGAACCGACUAAUGUUGAAAAAUUAGCGGAUGACCUGUGGCUGGGGGUGAAAGGCCAAUCAAACCGGGAGAUAGCUGGUUCUCCCCGAAAGCUAUUUAGGUAGCGCCUCGUGAACUCAUCUCCGGGGGUAGAGCACUGUUUCGGCUAGGGGGCCAUCCCGGCUUACCAACCCGAUGCAAACUGCGAAUACCGGAGAAUGUUAUCACGGGAGACACACGGCGGGUGCUAACGUCCGUCGUGAAGAGGGAAACAACCCAGACCGCCAGCUAAGGUCCCAAAGUCAUGGUUAAGUGGGAAACGAUGUGGGAAGGCCCAGACAGCCAGGAUGUUGGCUUAGAAGCAGCCAUCAUUUAAAGAAAGCGUAAUAGCUCACUGGUCGAGUCGGCCUGCGCGGAAGAUGUAACGGGGCUAAACCAUGCACCGAAGCUGCGGCAGCGA
rnacentral:rRNA from 1 species